rnacentral:rRNA from 1 species
AGAGCGAACGCUGGCGGCAGGCCUAACACAUGCAAGUCGAGCGCCCGUAGCAAUACGGGAGCGGCAGACGGGAUAGUAACACGUGGGAACGCGCCCUUCGGUUCGGAAUAACUCAGGGAAACUUGAGCUAAUACCGAAUACGCCCUUACGGGGAAAGAUUUAUUGCCGAAGGAACGGCCCGCGUCCGAUUAGCUAGUUGGUGAGGUAAUGGCUCACCAAGGCUACGAUCGGUAGCUGGUCUGAGAGGAUGACCAGCAUCACUGGGACUGAGACACGGCCCAGACUCCUACGGGAGGCAGCAGUGGGGAAUCUUGCGCAAUGGGCGAAAGCCUGACGCAGCAACGCCGCGUGUGGGACGAAGGCCUUCUGGGUUGUAAACCACUUUCAGCAGGGACGAUUGUGACGGUACCUGCAGAGAAGCCCCGGCAACUACGUGCCAGCAGCCGC